rnacentral:lncRNA from 1 species
CCCCUUCGUGUAACCCCAAUCGCCACCGUUCCGCCUAGCCCCAGCUCCCCUAAAGAAGCCUCGAGCUCAAACCCUAAGGUUGCCAAUCCCAGCAAGAAAUCUCUGCCACCGAAAUCCAUUCCUAACCCCUCCGAAUUCUUCAAAAACAAAGAACAGUUCCCUCAUGCCAACACUCCCUCCUCUGUUUCUAAAAUUGAACUGCGAAAGAUUAGGAUUCGCU